UCAACCAUCAAGCUUGGCUUGUAGUUGGACUUAUUGGCUGGGGAUACCCCGACCUGUCCGAAAGAUAAUGAACGGGUGCCCAGCGGCCUCAGAUGCAACGAGCUUUCUAAGCACGCAUUGAACGGUCGUUAGGCCCGGUCUUCUCUCUAUUCUCUAC
rnacentral:misc_RNA from 1 species